rnacentral:rRNA from 1 species
UACGAAGGGGGCUAGCGUUGUUCGGAAUUACUGGGCGUAAAGGGCGCGUAGGCGGCGUGUCAAGUCAGGCGUGAAAGCCCCGGGCUCAACCUGGGAACCGCGCUUGAGACUGGCAUGCUCGAGUUCGGGAGAGGAUGGUGGAAUUCCCAGUGUAGAGGUGAAAUUCGUAGAUAUCAGGAGGAACACCGAUGGCGAAGGCGGCUCUCGUGGACCGAUACUGACGCUGAGGCGCGAAAGCGUGGGGAGC